AGUGAACGCUGGCGGUAGGCCUAACACAUGCAAGUCGAACGGCAGCACAGUAAGAGCUUGCUCUUACGGGUGGCGAGUGGCGGACGGGUGAGGAAUACAUCGGAAUCUACUUUUUCGUGGGGGAUAACGUAGGGAAACUUACGCUAAUACCGCAUACGACCUACGGGUGAAAGCAGGGGAUCUUCGGACCUUGCGCGAUUGAAUGAGCCGAUGUCGGAUUAGCUAGUUGGCGGGGUAAAGGCCCACCAAGGCGACGAUCCGUAGCUGGUCUGAGAGGAUGAUCAGCCACACUGGAACUGAGACGCGGUCCAGACUCCUACGGGAGGCAGCAGUGGGGAAUAUUGGACAAUGGGCGCGAGCCUGAUCCAGCCAUACCGCGUGGGUGAAGAAGGCCUUCGGGUUGUAAAGCCCUUUUGUUGGGAAAGAAAAGCAGCAGGUUAAUACCCCGCUGUUCUGACGGUACCCAAAGAAUAAGCACCGGCUAACUUCGUG
rnacentral:rRNA from 1 species